CCGACUGAAUCCAACAGACAGUUUGUUAAUUAUCUGACAGAAAUCAAAAUUGUUUACUUGUAAAAAAUUUAAAAGACCAAAACUUUUCAAAGCACAUUUUAGGUACUAUUUUGAAUCUAUCCCAAACAUAAGGGACCAUUUUUUGUCAUUUGCUCCCCUAAUUAGCGUUCCUUCUCUUUUCUUCGUUCUCCGCCAAAGCCGUUUCUUCUCCUCUUUUCCUUUUCCUCCAUCUGUGUGAUUUCAGUUCGCUCUUAUGGUUUCAGUGGACUAGUGGUGCUGAAUCCAUAUUUUCAGGAUAAUUCUUUCCUAAAGCAGUCCUGAUGAGUAAAGUAGGUUUUGUUUCUCAUAUCAACAAUGAACAUCAUAUCCAUUUUGCGGAAACAGAGGAUCACUAGUGCAAUUCAUCAAACAGUUGUUAUAUCUUUGUCCAAACGAAGUAUUCAUUCAUGUCACAUUUUUUGUUCGAAAAUAUCCGAUGUAAGUUUUACUUUAGAGAACUCAGAAUUGGAAAAAGAAGAAAGGCUGGUAGAUCAGGGAAUGGUGGCAACAACAAACAGCUUAAGUCAAAGAAUUGAAUGUGUACCCAUAAGAGAAUCCGUCGGACCCACUUUUCAAAGCUGGAUGGGUGAUGGUCUACCUAUUCAUAGAGGUGACAUUUUCCACACUAUCAAUCGUUUGCGCAAACUCAAACUCAACAAGCGUGCUCUUGAGGUGAUGGAAUGGGUUAUAAGGGAGAGACCGUACAGACCAAAGGAACUAGAUUACUCAUAUUUAAUAGAAUUCACUUCUAAGCUUCAUGGGAUAUCACAAGCUGAAAGCCUAUUUUCACGAGUUCCGUCUGAGUUCCAAAAUGAGUUGCUCUACAACAAUCUUAUACUCGGAUGCCUGAAUAGAGGCCUGAUAAGGCUUUCACUAGCAUAUAUGAAGAAAAUGAGAGAGCUGGGUCAUCCCAUAUCUUAUUUGGUGUUCAAUCAUCUCAUCAUUCUCCACUCCUCCCCAAGCCGCAAGAAGUUAAUACCUAAAAUCUUGACGCAGAUGAAAGCUGAUAAGGUCACUCCACAUGUUUCGACCUUCAAUAUUCUGCUCAAGAUAGAAGCAAAUCAACACAAUAUUGAAGGCCUAUUGAGAGUGUUUGGUGACAUGAAGAGAGCAAAAGUUGAACCGAAUGAGGUAUCUUACUGCAUAUUGGCCACUGCACAUGCUGUGGCUAGAUUGUAUACAGUUUGUGAGACCUAUAUUGAAGCUAUUGAGAAGUCUGCAACUGGACAAAACUGGUCUACAUUGGACAUUCUUGUCAUACUGUAUGGAUAUGUGGGAAAGAGGAAUGAUUUAGAGAGGACAUGGGGUGUCAUUCUGGAGCUUUCUCAUGUUAGAUCUAAGAGUUAUGUCCUGGCGAUCGAAGCAUUUGGUAGGAUCGGAGAUCUCUGUCGAGCUGAAGAGCUAUGGUCUGUAAUGAAAUCAAGGUAUUCUUUGAAGUCAAAUGAGCAGUUCAAUUCGUUGAUAGCUGUAUAUUGUAGACAUGGACUUAUCACCAAAGCCACUGCAUUGUAUAAGGAGAUGGAGAAAAGUGGGUGCAAGCCAAAUGCCAUUACUUAUCGUCAUCUUGCUCUUGGUUGCUUGAGAGCGGGGUUAAUUAAGGAGGCCAUCAAAACUCUUCAACUGGGGAUGGAUAUGGAAGCAAGCAUAAAAGUGAAAAGAUCAACUCCAUGGUUGGAGACUACUCUUUCAAUAAUUGAAAUAUUUGCAGAUAAUGGCGAUGUAGAGAAUGCUGAAAAGUUGUUUGAAGAACUAAAGAAAGCGAAUUAUACUAGGUAUACCUUUGUGUACAAUACGUUAAUUAAGGCGUAUCUUAAGGGGAAGGUGCAUGAUCCAAAUCUUCUUAAAAGAAUGAUUCUUGGAAGAGCUAGGCCAGAUUCUGAGACCUAUAGCCUUUUGAAAGUUGUCGACCAAUUCCGAACGUGAUUAUAUUAGAAUUAUUUUCUAUCAUUUUACCCUCCUGUUUCAAAUUGCUCAUCUAAGAGUAGUCCUAUUCAGCCAAUUGCUGAAGAUAGUCCUAUUCUGCCAAUUGCUGAAGAUAGCCAGCCAUACUUCCAUUUGUGCCCAUUAUGUUCGAGUCUUGGAGAGAUGAUGGCAGGAAAUAUUUUUGGAAGCUCUUAUUCCGCUAGCGGUUUGAUUGAUGGCAUUGCCAUUGUGUUUGGAAUGUAAUUGAAAUAGAAUGUGAUCUGAGCCUUAAAAUCAGUUUGCCAAUAAUCGAUGAGCUUGUGUCAGCUAUGUUACAGUACUUGCUCAAUGCUAAUUGCUCAGUUAGUUGCUGUCUAGAUUUUAAGACAUGCAGUGGUUAACAAAAAAGCAUGUUUAAUAUGUUGCUGAAGAAGGUAAUGCAGCACAUAGUAGAAUCAGAUAAAAGCGCUACAUAAUGUUGUUUGUAGUUUGGCCAAAAUAUAAUGGGGAAAAUAAGAGAGCAGUACGAGGAAUUGAUGAACGAAGAUGAGGAAAAUGUGCAAGAGUAUCAGCAGCAGUGACAGGAAAGGGAGGACUUUCAUGAAGAUUGCAGCUGAAUUGGACAAGAAAGAGGCUGAGGAUGAAAGGAAGGAAUCGGGAUGAGGCAGUUGUGAGAAGAUGCUAUGCACCAAAGACAAAUGCUUCAUCAUUUACUCAUGCCAUCAAUAUUAGUUCAUAAAGAAUACAGAUUCAUAAGAAAACAAAAAAAAUUGAGCUUACUUUUUACCAAUAGCAAAAGCAAAGAUAUUAGAAUGAUUCCUGGUGAAGAAAUACUUCUUGUCAGCUUCCAAUACUCAGUAUUUUCUUUCAUAUAUUUGUUCAUACCCUGCACAUUUAAGUCUCUUCUUUGCUCCCUCUGCAAAA